GGUGAGUAAUGUCUGGGAAACUGCCUGAUGGAGGGGGAUAACUACUGGAAACGGUAGCUAAUACCGCAUAACGUCGCAAGACCAAAGAGGGGGACCUUCGGGCCUCUUGCCAUCGGAUGUGCCCAGAUGGGAUUAGCUAGUAGGUGGGGUAACGGCUCACCUAGGCGACGAUCCCUAGCUGGUCUGAGAGGAUGACCAGCCACACUGGAACUGAGACACGGUCCAGACUCCUACGGGAGGCAGCAGUGGGGAAUAUUGCACAAUGGGCGCAAGCCUGAUGCAGCCAUGCCGCGUGUAUGAAGAAGGCCUUCGGGUU
rnacentral:rRNA from 1 species